CUGAGACUAACAUCAGUAACCACGGCUGACAAGACUACAUUAGGGCGAGAUGCUAAUAAAGCCAGAUUUUAGCCCUAUCUUCACUAAAUGGUGAAGAUCAAAAAGUGAGAAAAUCCCAUUGUUAGGAAGAAGAUAUAAUUCAUUCAAAACAGAAAAUGCUUUCACCUGUUUGACCCAUCUUUGUCAUGGUAGCUAUACAGUCAGGGGUGGAAUGCGGGAGGUUAAGCAGCACUCGGUGACUGGCACCCCCAGGAUUGGCUGCCACCGGUGGGCUGGGACCCCCGCGGACGAGCCGCUCAUCAGACACGAGCUCAGGGAGUGACACGAAGGCACUAGCUGAGAGGCCGGCAAGCCCCACUGAAGACAUUGUCCUGGUUCGUCUGGCUUUGCCGCCAAGCCACCAUGACUCAGCAUCUCCCUGCAUGUCCAUCUGUUUCUGCCGGGCUCAGCGGUCAUCGUGCGGGGCGGCAUGCUGAGGGCUGCAGCGGGGGUCACGCCUAGCCUCUGCAUCAUCAUCCCCUGAUAGGCUGUGACAUUAAUCCCACCUGCCACAUGGCGUUUGUGUCCCUCUGAUCCAUAGGGGGCCGAUCCUCCAAGGACAGGGGGCCCUGCUUUCAUCCGGCUGCCACCCGCCACCGAUCCGUGCUGGAUGGACCGUUUCCUAGGCGCCGGGGUCGUAAUCUGCUCACUUGAAGCACCCCUUGAAUCCUUC